CCUACGGGAGGCAGCAGUGGGGAAUAUUGGGCAAUGGGCGCAAGCCUGACCCAGCAACGCCGCGUGAAUGAAGAAGGCCUUCGGGUUGUAAACUUCUUUUGUUAGCGAAGAAUAGAUGUCGGUACAUGACGAAUAAGCCACGGCUAACUACGUGCCAGAAGACGCGGUAAUACGUAGGUGGCAAGCGUUGUACGGAUGUACUGGGGGUAAAGGGCGUGUAGCCGGGUUGACAAGUCAGAUGUGAAAGCCUGCGGCUUAACCGUAGAACUGCAUUUGAAACUGUGGAGCUUGAGUACUGGAGAGGCAGACAGAAUUCCUAGUGUAGCGGUGAAAUGCGUAGAUAUUAGGAGGAACACCAGAGGCGAAGGCGGUCUGCUGGACAGCAACUGACGGUGAGGCGCGAAAGCGUGGGGAGCAAACAGGAUUAGAUACCCCUGUAGUC
rnacentral:rRNA from 1 species